AACGAACGCUGGCGGCAGGCUUAACACAUGCAAGUCGAACGCACUCUUCGGAGUGAGUGGCAGACGGGUGAGUAACGCGUGGGAACGUACCUUUCGGUUCGGAAUAACCCAGGGAAACUUGGGCUAAUACCGGAUGCGCCGGAAACGGGAAAGAUUUAUCGCCGAAAGAUCGGCCCGCGUCGGAUUAGCUAGUUGGUGGGGUAAAGGCCUACCAAGGCGACGAUCCGUAGCUGGCCUGAGAGGAUGAUCAGCCACACUGGGACUGAGACACGGCCCAGACUCCUACGGGAGGCAGCAGUGGGGAAUAUUGGACAAUGGGCGAAAGCCUGAUCCAGCCAUGCCGCGUGAGUGAAGAAGGCCUUAGGGUUGUAAAGCUCUUUCAGCGGGGACGAUAAUGACGGUACCCGCAGAAGAAGCCCCGGCUAACUUCGUGCCAGCAGCCGCUGUAAU
rnacentral:rRNA from 1 species